GGCCAACUGCAUGUCCCGGUGGUUUCCUAACUGCUAAUCUUUCUUGAAGGUCCCUUUACAAAUGCGUUAUUGAAGGUUGACCACAGAUAUUUAAAUCAGGAUUGGUAAAUGACGGGGUGCUCAGCCCAUCGCCACCUUUAACAUCUUGGCCUGAUGCUGUUUAGCAGAACUCGUCCGGGUAUCGCUCCGUGAGUUUACUCAAUACGGCUUGGAGGGGGCGAUUCGCCCUCCGUGCAGCCCAGGGUACAACACAUUCCUGAUCUGUGACCAGGUUUCCAAACCACACAGUAAAACGAAUAAUAAUGAUAGUAAAAGUUAUACAACUGGUUUUGAUAAGCAGCCUUUGCAUUGCUUUAGUGCUGGAUUUUCCAGCUGUUGUAUAUGGGGGAAAAAAAAAUGGUUUUUUUUGUAAAAACUACCAUACCCGACCGAAACAAAAAGCCCCAACAAAUUCAAGGUUUAAAGGAAAUUUUUGUAUCAAUCCUGGGUGCAACUGCAGGAAGAGUCGAGCUGGACAGAAUUAAACAUCUCAGCUGGAGCAUGGACAGGGCACCAGGCAGCUUGCUAAAAAUAGAUUAAUCCUAAUUACAGCCACACUUCUGCUUUUCCAAGGUUUCCUAUUUCACGGGGGGGCGGCGAAUGGAGCCGGGGAUCGGUGCCCGCCGCGGCAGCGGAGGGGACGGGGGCACAGGGCGCCCGUUACUGCGUAACCCCGGGGACACGGCGGCAGCGACGGGAGCGAUGGGAGUGACGGGAGUGAUGGCAGCGACGGCAGCGUCCCGCCUCGCCGGCCUUCGGCUGCCUGGCUCCAGCCCAUCAGCACAGGCUUAAUGCGGCGCCCGGCCCUGGAAAUCUGCUCUCCCCGAUUAGGAAAACCAGACUAAACCGCUGGAAAACAAGGUUUCAGGUAACGUGUGCUUUGCUGGUUCAAGAUUCAAACAUCUCCGCCUUCCUGCAGGCUUCCCGAGCCACCGGCAGCCCUGGGGGAGCUCGGUCCCGUGCCAGAGCUGCCCGGCGUGGUUAAACCUCCCCGGCGCGGUGCCGUGCGCCAGUAUGUCCCAUAGGAACUGCCAUAAAUCCCCGUUGGUUUGAUUUCCUCCUGGACAACAUUCCCGCAGAGAGCUGACUUGCUAUCUCAUAAGCAGAGUUACAAAGCGUUGAGUGUGAGAUAAACAUAUUUAAGCCUCUGCUUUCCAAACUCUGGUACUUUAUUUCUCCCACAAAGCCUAUGAAACCCAACUAUUUUCCCACCCUAAAGGAUGUAUAUGAAUUACCGGUUUAAAUAUUUAACCAGAAAAUGUUUCGCUUCAGCUAGGAGAACUUUGUUUUAGCAGAAACCAGGAGUGAAUGCCGUGUGUUUUCGUUUGGGUUCUGCAGCAGCAAUCGCUGGGUAAGCGCAAGGGCCCCUCUGCUCGAGGUGGAUCUCAGCCCGCCCGCUGCUCCUGCAGAAGCCAGCCAGCCAGCGGCUGCAAGACCUUCUUGGCCACUAAAACAGAGGAAAAAUUCAUCAAACCUCUGUCGAUAUCUUGGAUUUACAUAGCUGAGGAACGACUCUCCCGCAAGUACUGGGGGAACGGCGGGAAUUUCAUUUAAAGGGUCCGACUGAGCCUGUUCGGAUGCUUUAGAAAAAAAAUAAGUCCCGAUGAACGUCAGGACAGGGCCGGCAGCCAGGGCAGGAUCUGAAAGGCCGACAGCAUCGCGCCCAGGGCCGGCAGGUUGUGCUGCGGGGCGCUAGGCUUUUGGAUGUGCUGGCCCCCGGGGAACACCGAGGCGUAGGGCCCGGCUCCGGGGGUAAGGGGAAGAGGGUGCCUGGCUGGAAAGCGCCUUGUUAGUCUUGAGCCGGACUGUCACUCCAGGAAAUGGUAUUUUUACUUAACAGCUCAUCGGAAAAGAUUGCAUUUUACAUUUUUGAGAUUCAUUUGCCCUCUGCACCCAAGCGCAGAUCCAGGAUUUGCAGGCUUGGGGUUUGUAUUUUUAAUUAAACAAGAAAGACGCACUGCAGAGCAGCCGGUACCUUUGGGCUGGCGGGUGCUCGCCUGGGCUGCCAGAAAUUCGCCUGCACGUCCCUGCUUUGAUCUCCGCAGAAGACAGUCUCGCAGCUCCGGUCUCCCAUAUCCCAGCUGAGUUUGUCGCAGAGUUUUUGGCUGUCCGGCAGUCCCGGUUGUCAGUCCUGCUGUCACCUCCCAACUCCCCGGCGUUCCACCCUGGGCACAAGAAAAAACCUCCCGUUAAAAAUUUCACCAACCUUUGUAUGACACAGCAAUAUUUUCCAAUUGGGAAAUGAAUAAACAGGGAAAAGCUGGUUUAGACAUUCCUAAGCAGCUUGCUUAGCGUUACUGUGCCGCCAGCAGACCGCAGCCGAGAGCAGACCCCCUCCUUCACGGGAUGCACCUACAGAAAGCGCGCCGAAGCUCAGCCGUAUGAAGAGGUUAAUGGGGUGAACACCAUUUGUUUGCCCUGCACUGGACACAAGCCUCUGCUUUUGAGCUCCGUUCCCACGCUGCCACUUUUCCUUCCUCGGGGCUGGACCGUCUAACGGAGGGAUGCAACGCUCCAAAAGCCAAGGUAUUCCCAGCAGGCCCAUGGCCUCCUCUUCCCAGAUACCUGUGCCCGCACAGUUUCUCUCUUUGGGAGGCAGCAGUAGCGGCGGUAGCACGCCGAAAUCCGCCUGGCAGGACCGGCCUCCUCAGGCUUUAGCAUGGCCAUCCCGUGCUGCAGGUUCCCGUGAAAGAGAAAUAGCAGCAUCCCAGAGCGAUGUCAUGGAGCUUCCAAAACUACCAGCUUCAUUUGUCCCUUUGUUUGCCUGGGAGGUUUUCACCAAGUCCUGAAGAUGAUCAUGUCCUGGGGACGCUCAGAACGCUGCAUCCCUGGCUGGUCCAUCAGAGUCUGUGUCGGCUCCAGCCCUCCGGUCCGGCUGAAGGUACCCGCUUCGCCUCCAAGAUGCAACCGCAGUCCAGAGGUGAGGAAUAAGAAAUGA